AAUCCAUGUUGUAGGCAUUGGUGAGUUAACCUUUACAUCAUUCCCAAGCUUCUAAAUUCCAUUUCGAGUCCAUUUGUUGGAAAGUAGUAAUCUCAUCCCUUAGUAU
rnacentral:snoRNA from 1 species